AAUAAUCCAAUGUGAUAAAUUAUUAAUUUACAUACAUAACUCAUGUAUCUCAUCCUAUUGUUUAAUCAUGUAUUGUUAUCUAAUAAACUCUCUUUACUGUUUUCUUUUAUUUUGUAGGAUGAGGAUUGAACCUUGGAGAUACCGAUUCCAGUAAAGUAAGAUAAAAAGUAGAAUUGGAUUCCAAUUUUUCCAAUUUUCGGGUUGAAAAAAGUUGGCAUAGUAGUUGUAAGAAAAUUGCUUAUCAUCUAUAUCAUUGCUUGCCAUGGUGCUAUCAAUUUUUGAAAGUGUGAUGAACACAAAAUGAGUAAUUAGCUAAACAUAACAACACAUACGAACUGAAGAUAUAUACAAUUAAAAUACAACUGAUUGAGAUAUAUAUUGUCAAUAAAUUAAAGGCAACAGAGGUUCGAAAGUAAAAUAAAAGAAAAAUACACAUAAGAAGCAGCCGCCAUUUAUUGGACAAGUUUAUAGAAACCGACGAUAUGAUCAACAAGCCGUCGUGGGAGGCGGCGGGGCAGUAAAUAAAAAUCAGACAACAUAACCUUUGCUCAUCAUGUACUUUACGAACUGAUCGAUCUCUUCCUCGCCAAGCUUUCCAUCUCUGUUUCGAUCUGCGUGACACAGAGCACUGUAAGCGAGAUGAACUGGCAUUUCAGCGUCCAGUUUCUUCAAUGCGUUCUUGAUCUCGAACAAUCCUAAUCCUCCGUCUUCAUUCGUAUCCAUUUGGUUAAAGAUCUGUCUCAGUUCUUUGGCAGAGUAGGCGCUUUCCGACGAGACGGGCGGUGAAUUCGAUUUCGUUUUUGGACGGAACAUCGACGACAUGGUUCUGUAGUUGAUUGUGGUUUGGGAAAUUGGGGAGUUGGAUUUGAUUUGAUUUGUUGUUGAAAAUGGAAAGUGGGGGAAUAGGGGAAUUUAUAGAGAAAAAUGGAAAUUAAUGGCGGUGAUUAGAGAAUUGAGAUGCGGAGUUAUCUUUGUGUUCUGUAUUGGGAUUGGUGCGGCUACAAAAUUGGAAUCCAAUUCGGCUUUAGAGUGUCGUACAAUUUAGGAACUGUGCUUUGUGAUGGAUUUCAACGGCUGACUCUGUUUUUAGUUUGAAGUUUAAACAUUCAAAAACACGUUAGAAUGUUGAUGAAAUGUCAUCGGAUUUUGACGUCUAGAGUAAGACGGUGAUUAUUUAAGUAUAUGAUUUAAAAGAAUUUAUACAAUACUUUUGAUUUUGAAAUUUUAAUUAUUCUCGAUUAAAAUAAUUCAUUUUUCUAAAGUAAAGUAGGUUCCUUGGGUCUCAAGGUAAAGAGUAAUAUAUUUUAUUAAUGAAUGUCGAGGUGCUCUCUCUAAUCUUUUUUCACAACAUAUAUAAUUAAAAAGGCAAAUUAAUAUACUUUUUAAUCAUAAGAUCAAAUUAGUUUGAAAUAUUUUGAUUAUUCAACUAUUUUUAAUUAUUAUAUUCAAGAAACACUCGUAAAAAUAUCAAAUUUUCUUCUUUUUAAUGAUAAUAAAAACUCAUGUCACUAUAUUUUUUAAAUUACAAAAAAAGUAAAUUUAAAAGAAGAUAACUCUCUAGUCUUUUAAUAGUCGCAUUUGCUAUAUUAACAAUAUGCAGAAGAGAUUCGUGAGAAGUGGUUUUUUUCUUAAAAAAAUUAUGUAACUUUUUUAUAUUUUAGUAUAUAGUUUUCUUAAAAGGUUUUAGAAGCAACAACAAAAAAAUGUUUUUCUUUAAAAUUCCAUAAAAGCUUGGAGGGAAUGAAGGAAAGCAUGUAAGAAAUUUCCCCUUUCCUUUUUUUAUAUUAAUUUUCUCCCGCAAAGUUUAAUCAUUUAACUUCAAGGAUAGGUCCAAUAAUAUUCGGAAAAAAGAAAGCAUAUAUUAAUAAUUAUAAUAUAUUGCACUCAUCAAUCUUUGGUUGAAUUAUUCAACAUUUGACCACAUUGUAACAAAGGAAUCUCACUUGUCUUUAAUAUUACAAUUGAAUUGCACCUUUCAUUGGAACUAAUGGAAAUAAAUGUUGUUUUUGUUUUGUUAUAUAUAUAGUCACAUCCCAAAUCACACUGCACCAAAAUAACGAUGCUGUAGGAAUAGGAUGUGAGUUAGUUAUAAUCUUGGAAUUUCUUAUUGCAAAUCUUAUUAUUAAUAACAGAUGUUUCAUACAUAAUUACGAUACUUUGACCAAAUAACUAAUGCUUAACCAUUUCCAAAACACCUUGAAUCACAUUGCUGCAAAUCCUUCAGCCUUCUUCUUUACUUGACCCAAAUGCCUGAUCCUGAAAGAUAGAUUUUUAAAACGUAAAUCUAAAAAACUUAGCGAGGUCUUAUGAAAAUCCUUCGCAAUACCAUUUCAUAAUCAUCUCACAAAAAUAAUAUCAAAUCAUUUAAACAUACCGACAAAUCAUUUCAUUUCACAUAAACCUUUCUUUAUACUUAACAAAUCAUUUCAUUUCGCCAAGCAUUCUGAAUCGUUAUCUACGCUUUGUCUCAUUAUCUCGCGUUUAAACUAUUGUAUUAACAACAUCUGAGAACAUACAAAUUCGUCAUUGUUGCUCAGGCUGCUAAGCUUUAUACGCUCAUUUCAACGCAUAAGCCAACUUCUUAUCACCAUGUAGUCCAUACACUUCAUGGUGGCUUUGACUCUAUAUGCUCACAUAAAAGUUAACAUCAUCUCAAAGAAAUAACUGUUGGUUUGAAAACCAUUUUAUAGUAUUGAAAUCAUAAUAUCAAAUCAAGCUUUAACGUUAUAAAUCAUGCUUGAAAACAUAACUUUUUAUAGGAAUAUCUUUUAAACAUUCUCAUUUGAAUUUUUAUUUCAAAUCAGUAAAGAGAAAUCUUAAUAAAGUUUUUAACAUAAAUUCAUUUGAGAGAAAACAUUCACAAAACUUUACUAAACACUCUCAUUUGAAUUUUUCUUUCAAAUCAGUAAAGAGAAAUCUUAAUAAAGUUUUUAACAUAAAUUCAUUUGAGAGAAAACAUUCACAGAACUUUACUAAACAUUCUCAUUUGAAUUUUUCUUUCAAAUCAGUAAAGAGAAAUCUUAAUAAAGUUUUUAACAUAAAUUCAUUUGAGAGAAAACAUUCACAAAACUUUACUAAAGAAGUCCUUAUUCUUCUUCUCGUAUGGUUAAUCUAACACUUCAACAUUUCAACAAAACUCUCAUCAUCCUCUCCUUAGUUAAUAAAAUUCUCUUAUUUAUAGGAUCCUUAAACUAACUUAGUCAUGCAUAAACUUUUCUUAGUUUACCAACUUCUGCUUAAAACUUUACAUGUGUAAAUUUAAUAUUAAAUCUAGUCAUGCUUAAAUCCUUAAUCUUACACGUCUCUGUCAAAUCAGAUUUGAUAUUUUCUUCGCCAGACCUUGCUUAUCGCCUAACCCAAACUGCGAAUAACUUCAACCACUUAACAUUUCUCAUCAAUAAUCUUAGCAGAUGGUUAUAUUUUUACUAUAAGAAACAUUAAUCACAAACUAACCAACUUUUACUCGCAUAGAACUCUUAUCGCGAACUUAAACUUCAAAGCUUUUCUUGCAGACUUCUUCCCCGCGAAACACUUGGUUCUUCUCGCGAAGACUACCCAAAACACUUAGUCAAAUACAAUUAAAUUUUUCACUUCUUAACUUAUGCGGAGACUUUUUCUUUUCUUAUCGCACAAUUUCUUGAACUACCCACUUAAUUGCAAAAACGUAUAUUAAACCAUAAAUUUUUUUAUCGUUUAAUCAUUUUCGCAGAUUUAUUCAAAUGUUAACUUCUUAAUCAAAUUUUACUUUUUUUUACUCAAAUUAAAAGUGAAUCUUACAUAUAUCUUAAGAGUCUAUUGACAAUUAAAUGUUUUUUUUAGAUUGAACAUGUAUAUUUUCACUCUCCCCAAUAAUUUUUAGUAUAACAAUAAGAUUUGAACCUUUCAUUUUAAGAUAGAAAGUCAUAUUAAAUAUUGUUGAGUUGAGUUCAUUUUUUACUUAUACCCCAUAUUUGUUGUGUCGGAAAAGAGUUGGGUUUUAAUUUUUAGUUAAAUUAUAAGUUUAUAGUAACUUCUAUAUAAAAAAUAAGUUGAUUAGUUUAAAAAAAUUAGAAGUACAGUCAUGCAUUCAUAUUUUAAUUAAAAAUGCAUCUUUCUUUAAAAAUGAAAUUACAUUUUUUUGGGAAUUAUAUGUGAUUUAAAUAUUGUUUGGGAUUGAAAGUGUUAAUUAUUCUUAUUUCUCAAUUAAGAAUAUUUCUUUUUCUAAAGUAGCUAUAUCUCCCUCAUCAAUCUCUCCUUUUGCCAUGUCAAGAAUAUAUAUUUCUUUUGUGGUGAUGGUCGAGAAAACACUACCGACCUAAGUUAAAUUUGCCUAACUCAAUCUAUAACGAAGAGAAAAACUAGAUGGUAUUUGAAUUGUAUUUAUGUUUGCACGUCUAUCAAAAAAUUAUCACGUGGAUGCAUAUAACUUUAUUAAAAAGGUAAAAUAAGAUUAUAAUUAUCGUCCUAUUUAAAAUUAAUUAAUAUGCAUGUAGUAUCUUACAUUUUAGAAUUAAGGUUGCUAAAAAAAAUUGAUUGCUCAAUUACUUAUUAUUUCUUAAAUCAAUCAACUUUAUUUGUUUGGUUGCAAUUUCAAUUAAGUGAUCAAUUUCAUAGGUGGUCAAGUUUGGGACAAAAGCUUCGAGGGAAUAAAGCAAAAAAAAGUAGGAUAUUUCAAUUUCUUUUAAUCAUUCAACUUCAUCCAUAAAUCCAUUAAUAAUAUUCGGACAAAUGAAAAGAUAUUAUAUUCCACUCAUUAAUGGUUGGUUGAAUUGUAAUGAACAUUUGACCAUAAUGUAACAAAGUAACCACUAAAUUAGAGAUGCACAAGUAAAAUUACUCAAAAUUGUGUGUUAAAUUUUCCAAUUGAAAGGCAAUUUGAUGGGAACAAGCUUUGCCAAAUUUGAUAUCUGUCUCUUACAAACAAAAGGAAGAGAAGGCAUAGGUUGACUCUCUUUAGUAACUUUGAAUAUGAUUCUUGAUAACUUUGGAUCGGCUAUGCUGAUUUUAUUAUAUAGAUUCAUCAUUCUUGUGAGCAAGCAAUUGUAGAAGAAAAGUAUUUGGAUACAUCACGAAUCAUACUAAUCUUUAUGCAACACACUCGGAUCUUUUGGUGAGAUAUGAGAAUUCUGUGUCUCUCUCUUUCAAAUUCCGUCAUAACUUGACCAAUAGGAAAACGACGAAGGUGACCUCUCUUCUUUCCUUACUUGAGGGGUGGAUGCUCUCAUAAAGAGGGGAGAAGGGAUGCUUGUGUUUGGAAUCUUAAUCUCAGUCAGGGUGUCACUUGUAGGAUCUUGUUUCCUUUAAGGAGCCGAUUUUUGAUGUGGUGUGGAGGACUAAGGUUCUUUAUAUGACAAGUUUUGCUUGGUCGGGUUAAUACUGUUGAUAGGGCUUGUUAAGAGGAGGACUUCACUUGUUGAACCUUUUGUUGUAUGUUGUGUCGGAUAUGGGCGGAGUAAAAUCUUGAUCAUCUCUUUUGAGAUUGCUAGUUGUAAGGGUUGUGUGGUGCUCCUUCCUUCAAGAGUUUGGUGUUAGCUUUGCUUGUUUGAGGAGUAUUAUAGCGAUGAUCGAGAAGUUUCUUCUCCAUUCACCUUUCAGAGAUAAAUGAAUUUUUUUAUGGCUUGUUGGGAUGUGCACGGUUAUUUGAGACAUUUGGAGCGAAAAGAAUGAUGCGGUGUUUAGGGGUAGAGAGAGGGGACAUAGUGAGAUUUGUUUUUUUUUGGAGUAGUUGCAAAUUUAGCAAUUAAAUUCAAAAUAAUUAAGUAUACAGCAACAUUUUAAAAAAAUUACAAAUAUAGCAAAAUUUGUCAAAUUCUAUCAAUGAUAGAGUUUAUCACUGAUAGAUCAUGUUGUAAAAAUUGGUCUAUCACCGAUAUAUCAUACGAGUCUAUCAGUGAUACAUGUCUAUCAACGAUAGUUUUGUUAUAUUUGUAAUUUUUUUUAAAUGUUGUUAUAUCCUUAAUAAUUCAUCAAAUGACCAUCCAUUACAAUUACCUUUGUUUUUUUGGUUAGAUUUCACAUGUCUCUUUGGGCUUCAGUUUUGAAGAACUUUUGUAAUUAUGCCAUAGGCAACUUUUUAUUUCAUCCGUCCCCCUCCUUUUAAUGGAGUGAUUUUGUGAGGCUUUUUUUUUUUUUGUAUAUCCUUGUAUUCUUUCAUUCUUUCUCAAUGAAAGUUGUUCUUAUUAAAAAAAAAACCCACUCAAUUGUCCAAUCACACUUUAUCUUGUAGUAAAUCCAGAAUUUGAGAACAAAAUGAAUUAUUUCUAAACCUAACUUUAGAAGUCAAAAUCGUAUACUACAACCAAAAUAUUCAAAAUUGAAAGAUUAAAAAAACAUCAGCGAACCUAGUAGCAUACUAGGCUAUCAAGUGAGUUGCUCUAUUAUAAACACGGUGAUAGAAGGAGAAGGAGACAAAGACCCAACUUACUUGCCAAAUUUCUUCAAUGACAUCCAUGAUCUGAGUAAAAUUGACCAAGCAGUUGUUAAUCUAGUUCACCACUCCUAGCACCCAAUUCAACUACAAUAGUUAGGGAAAGUUGAGAGAUAAAUUGAAAGAAUAAAUCAUCGAUAAUUUCUUUAAAAUCCAUCCCGUUUAGAGAUCUGGAAGAGUCAUGCACCACAACAUAGUCUCGUUCUAAAAGGUAUCGUCGUAAACAUUUCUCUUUCACUCAUUUUUUACAAAAGAGUUUUAUAAAACAUGAUUAGGUGUUGUAAAUAUUUUUCAAUAUCAAAUUGGAAUGAAAACGUUGAAAGAGGAAAAAAACGCACAAACAAAACAAGAUGAAAAACUCAAAUUUUGGAAGAGGGCAGAGAGUCUGAAAAGGCUAAUUUAAUUUAUAGAUUUUAGGUAAAAUUUUGUGCAAAAACCAUAAAUAUUGGACAUAAUAAAAGCGCAUAUCCACGCGAGAAUCGGGGGUUUCUCGUGGCCAUGGAGAUCCCAAAACCCUACCCGCAUUCGAAUCCUCUCAUAUCCGUUUCUUCUUUCAUCCACCAUCACUGUACCAAACUUGGAGCCGAGCUUUCCAAUCGUCUCGAAGACACCAAACGCUUCGCCGGAACUCUCGCCAGAAGAUGGCCGGCCCAGGCGAAUUGGCGAUCAUUUCCUACACCUGCUUUCGCAUCCCUUGCGCGCCACACGCAUGCCUUGGCUGCCACUCUUAGCCCCGACCAAGUGGCGAAGUCCCUCGUCGGCACGGCGGUAUACACUGUUAGCAAUUCAAAUAAUGAGUUUGUGCUCAUUUCUGAUCCCAAUGGUGCCAAGUCAAUUGGGUUGCUGUGCUUUCGCAAGGAAGAUGCCGAGACCUUUUUGGCUCAGGUUUGUUUUGCCCCUGGUUUUCCUCCCAUUUGUGUAGAGUGAAAUGAUAAUGAAGAAGUGAGGAAAACUUGUCGCAAUCUAUUUUGUGCUUCCCCUAUUUAGUGGAAUUUGUGUUUGAUGUUUUCGAUAAUUUAAUGAACUAGAAGUAGGUUUACCAUUCUAAUUCUUUUGUUCAAAUCUGAUGUUUUUAUUGCAAUAUGAUAUCUGAUUAUAGUGAAUUUCAGGUCCGAUCGAGGAAAAGAGAACUAAGAAGUAAUGCCAAGGUUGUACCUAUUACCCUUGACCAGGUACCUUACUUGUAUUAUCAAAUUUUUACUUCUUGAGUACCGAACUUUUUCCCUGCUGCAGUUAUUUUGUUUUCCCCACUUAACGUUCAACCGUUUAGUGGAAUUCCAUAGUGAAGGUUAGUGUGGCUGGUAGGUAACUGCAUUUAUAGGCUUGUGCUAGUACUCCUGAUCAAUGAUAUGACAAUGAGAGCCGAGAGGAGCAUUUACCUGGUGAGAUAACUCCGUUUUAUUUUUAGUCAUCUGGCUGGUGAAAAUUUUCAAAUCUAAGGCCUAUUAAUUUGAAUGUAUCUAAAUUUGUUGGGUUGGAAGAUUUCAAAUAAAUAGGUUGAACUUAUAAAACACAGAAUUUAAAUAUGAUGGUGAAGUGAAGUAUCUGUUUUGCCUUUUCUUUUUCUUCCUUUAUUAGGGGGCGUGGGGCAGGGUUUGAAAUUUAAUAAUUUUGUGAGAAGGUACUCAAUUAGAAUUCAACCUGAUUUUUCUAUUGCCCGUGUAUUAUCUAUUGCCAAUAACCGGGGUGUCCUCCUUCAGUUUCUCUCUUUCUUCUGUACUUCAGUAGAUUUAUUUGUUUCUGUUCGUUUUUUAUGAUUCACAGGUAUAUUUGUUGAAAGUUGAAGGUAUUGCAUUCCGCUUUUUGCCAGAUCCUAUUCAGCUUAAGAAUGCGUUAGAGGCAAGUUUCAUUUGAUCUUGUCAUUCUCUUGGUGUUAAGACAUAGGGUUGUGUCGAUCUUAUGCUAUAUUUUAUAUUCUUUCACUCCGUAUCUAAAUUUUAAAUUCUAUAACAAUACCAAUACUAGUAAGCUAGGAAGCAUAGAUACCAACACGACACACACCAUUUUUCAAAAAGUAGGACACGACAUGUCGAGACACAUUUAAGUAUAUGUCAUGCAUACAAACCUAUUAUGAAAUAUUCCAAUUAGAAACAUCAAAAUAACAAGUUAAGAAGCAAAUAAUUUACAUAAAUAUAACAAAACCCAGAAAUAUUUACGGCUUGUGUAACAAAAAAAGAAAAGUUCAUGAUGCCGGUAAUAUAUUUUCAUAAUUUCCAGAUUUGACCUUGAAUAUUGUAGAUGACUCGUCACUUGUAUUUCUUCUUUUUCUUUCUUUGUGAUUUCUUCUCUUUCAAAUUUAUUUCUUUCUAUUUUUAAACAAUUUAUUCUUUUGUUUAAAUCUCCUAUUUCAUCUUCAUCAUUUUCGUCAAGAUUCUUUGAAGUUAUUUCACGAUUGUUUCAAUAUUCUUCUUCGUCAUCCUUAUAUUCAAGAAUAUCAAGAUCGUUUGAAUAUCAUUUUAAAUGAUCAACACGAUCGUUUACCACUGUCAAGAUGAUGGUUUAAUUUGAAAUCUUUUUCUCAUCGUUUAAAAUAAACUACAUGAUCAUUUACCAUGUAUCGGAGAAGUUGAGAGUUACACAUUGAAAAAACCAAGAGGACUCAUACUCCAUAUAAUAUAGAUGGACUACUCCUCACAUUGCCAAUUGAUUUUGAGAUGGAACCCCAUACGGGUAUUCGAUCCAAUAUAGGUGAACCCAAAAAGACACCAUCUUGAGGGGGCAUAUCGGAGAAGUUGAGAGUCUCAUAUUGGAAAAACCAAAGGGAGUCAUACUCCAUAUAAUAUAUAUGAGCUACUCCUCACAUUGCUAAUUGGUUUUGAGAUGGAACCCCAUAAUAUCAAAUUUAACACUACGAUCAACACUAUCGUUUAAAUUUGAUGCUUUUUUCCAUCGUUUACCAUAGUCAACACAGUUGUUAGAUUUGAAGUUUUUAACGAUCAUUUACGUUGGACUGCACGUUCGUUUGAUCGUUUAAAUUUAAAGCAUUUUUCUCCAUUAUUAAUAAGAAAUACAUGAUCGUGUAUCAUGACCUAAAUGAUUAUAGGUCAUUUGUUUAGACUUUAGUAUACGAUCGUUUAGAAUAAGAUUACUCGUUCGCGUGUGUGGCCGAUUAAUCGCAUGUUGAUUGGGGUAUUUUCUGUUUCUCAUUGUGAGCUUGUGGGCUUUUUGGUUUUCAAAAUUGUUCUAUGUAGUGUAAAUACCGAUUUGUUACAUUUUAAAAAGAAACCCUUAAGAACCAUAUAAUUCAUGAACAUGAAAAAUAUGAUAAUUGAUACCAUACUGUCUGGCCACCAAAGCAUGAAAAAAGAAAAGAAGAAAGAUAAAAUGAAACUGACAACGAGUUUGGGUGGUGAGAAACAGGGGAGCACGAACACAACACUCGACACGUAGGUGGAGAAGAGAAAUGCAUAAAAACAAAAUGGUUGAAAAGAUAAAAUUAAGAAGAAAAAAAUAACCCGUCUUCUUUGUUUUUUUGUUUUUCCAGUCAUGUCUCAUCCGUGUCUUGGUGUGUUGGCACCAUGUUGGAAAUUAGAAGAAAAUAAUAAAAUAAUCCGAAACAGUCUAUUCAUACCUUUACAGUUGAUUCUAUUGGGUGUGUCUAACCUUCCCUUCCCCCCAAGCCCGAUUGUUUUCCCUAACAUCUGCUUCUAACUUAGCCUCAUAAACAAAGUCUGCUACCUGGGCCCGGAUCUGCUUCUUGUUUGACUUGCCAUGAUAACAAACUAAGAAAGCAGUUAAGCAAGGUUGUGGCAUGAUUGAACAAGACCUCUGCAAACAAUGGCUGUAGGUCAUACAAGAUAGAGGUAUAUAAGCCAAUGAGAGGUUAUUGCGUGGAGCAGCACCAGAGGAUGGGUUGGUUCGUUCCUUUCUAUGAAAAGAACCAGGAAAACCAUUCAAUAAAGAGAUUCCCACUAAUCAAUGGAGGGCGGAUUUGAGCUUUGGGUUCAUUCUCAUGAACUAGAGAAAAACAUGGUUGCCACGCAUAAGCAAGCUGCUGUUCUGUCAUUCUCAAGGCUAGGCUAUGGCUAGGUAGGGUUGACAUGCCAACUGGUGUGUUGAAGUGUGUCAGUGUUGGAAAUGUGUCUGACACUGACACUUGGCCAUCUUAGGUGUGUCGGUGCUUCUUAGCUUGUAAGAGAUGCUAAGUUGAUAUUGGCUAGAUAUCAACUACAAUUGGUUGGCCUAGAGGUUGAGGGGAAAGUUGAAAAAGGUAAAAUGAUUAUGGAGCCAUAAGUUCAAAUCUUGUGGUGGUCACGUACUGGAGAGUGGAGACAUUAAUAUCCUUAGUCUAUUUUUUCUCUUUUUACAAUCAAACCAAAAUUUUAAGCUUCAUAUUGUCUCAACAUUAACGUGUGUCACUAACAAUACACACAAGUGCACACUUAUUAUUAGUUGGAUACCUUUGGGGUUUAAGAAAUCGACAAUCAAAGAAACCUAGUAAACGUAAACCAUAGAGAAAACAACAUUGAGAUUUACUUGGUUUGCUAAUGAUAUGUUAGCUACGUUCAUAGGCAAACAGGGAGAAACAUUUUAUUAAUAGAGAAAAUAUCAAAUAUUACAGGUUCAAGGCGCCAGGGAGACCCCUUGCUUAGUUGUUUGGAGUGCCAAAUAACCGAUUUGCUUCAUUCCAAUAUGUUAGAACUUUCUCAUGCAAUAGAGUUGAACUUUCUUAUGACCAUCUUGUAAUUGAUAUUUAAGAUGCCUUGACAUUUCAAUUCGAUAUAUAAGAUGUUACUUACAUUUGACUAGUAAUAAAACAUUUACAAACUCAAACAUUUCAAAUAUACUAUAUUUUUGUUGACCUGAAAAUUGACCCAUAAUUGUAUCUUUGUAUUUGUAGCUUAAAGCAUCAGAGACUGGAAGCAGUUUUGAUGGAGUUCCUGUUUUUCAGGUACGUUUCUGCACUUAAUCAACUGGUUUUAACAUAAACUUGAAUGAAGGAAUCAGAGUUGUGAAAACUCUAGAAGGACCAAUGAAUUGGAUCAUUGGACAUGUUCCAAGUUUCUAAUGAUAAACAGUUCUCAAUCAUGAUUUUUGGUGUGCAUAAUUCAUAAUACAUUGUUAUAUUUGGUUGACAGUUAUCAUAGUUUGUAUUGUUUGGUUGACAUGUCCUAUAUCCUGUUCAUUUUUCAUAAUAACAAAUUUUGAUUUCUUUUUACAGUCUGACCUUCUGAUCGUGAAAAAGAAAAACAAGCGUUAUUGUCCUAUAUACUUUACCAAGGUCUGUAUGCAUAUAAUUUCUGAGGAACUAUGGAUCGUAGAUGCAUCUAACCAUUUACUGGAAAUAUAGGAAGAUAUAGAAAAGGAACUGUUGAAGGUCCCGAAGGCAAGAAGAUUUGGAACUUCUCAACAUAUUAUGGUAUGAUUUGUAUAUUUUUUCUUUGUAUAUUUGAUGUUCCUUUCUUGUGAAAAAGAUUAUCUGUUCUGUUAGUCCACGAUUAUAUUGACUUAAACAUUCAACAGGUUGGAAGUUUGGAAGAUGUUCUAAAGAAAAUGGAGGUGAGGUUUCUUGAUCUCAAGUAGUAGUAUCUUUUAGAAUAUAGAAAUUUUACUCCAUCUUAGUUUUCUUGAUCAAUUGCAGUUGAAUGAAAAUAAUUCAGCCUGGGAAGAUCUGAUUUUCAUUCCACCUGGCAAAAGCCACUCCCAACACUUUCAAGAAGUGGGCAAAGCAUGACAGAGGCCUGUGAAUUCAGCCAACAGACUAAAACAAGAAGAAUGAAAGAGCAUGGAUAGAACUGAUUCAGCAAACUGAGGUUAGAAAAAACUGGAAUUCUGUUAUAGUUGGCUUCAUGGGAGAGGAAUAAUGAAAACUAAUGGCCUUUUUCUCCCUCAUUAGACAUCACAACGGAUCUGAUUCAGACAUUAUUUUGUGAGGUUGAAGAAGAUAAUGCCUUCUGUUUUACGUCAAGGAGGUUAGUGAAAACAUUGCGGCUGGAUUUCUCAGAUGUGUUGAGUUUGAUUUUAUUUAUGUAUAGUAUAGUCUUUAUGAUUGACGCCGUUUUCAACUGUAGAUUAGAAUCAAUGUAAUUUUAGCUUCUGAAAUGGUUACUGAUUCCUAAGGCGACUUGUCCCAUUUUGCUCAGCCGUGCGUUGCCUAAGUACUAAAGGGCCGUUAUUUACGUGGGAAGGGAAUCUGACAGUAUUUGAUUUUCACAAUAAAUUAAUGAACCAUCAAAUAUCUUUUUUUUUUUUUUUUUUUUUUGAAGUUCACAAUUUUACAGGUUGAGAUCAGAACUUUUGACUUUAAAAUGAUGAUUGAUUAUUUCAUCCAUCGAACUACGUUUGGAUACAUACACUAUCUUAUUGUCUAUUGAGGAACGCUGUUGUUUACCGGUUAGAUUUUUGGAAAUGGAGAAUUGUGUAGGUGGGGGAGAACGUAUUAGGUUGUUAGAUCUUAUUUUCAUUUGUAUAAAUAUACUCCUUAAUUAUAUGCGUAAUUCAAAUCUGUUGGUAUUUCUUUUUCAAGAAAGAAGAAAAAUAUUCAUUGCUUUGUAAUAAUAAAACCUUGCUUUUUGUAGAUGGGGUGAUGGGGUGAUGGGUAGGUAACUUCAAUUAACAAAAGUUUAUCUCAAUUUAAUUUUACAUUAGGAAAAUUGUAUUGAGUGGCAAAUUAGUUUGGAUAUUCUGCAAAAAUGUGUUUAAGAUUUGUGAUUUUGCAAAAAUAGCAAAAAUAAUCCAAUCCUAUGUAUGUGUGGGUAGGGUCUUAUUCUUAUAAAUAAUAAAGUAUAAAUAAUAAUAAAGUAUAAAUAAUAAUAAAGUAUAAAUAAUAAGGUAUACUUGUGUUAGUUAUUAUUACUUGUUUUUGCUAUUCUUGUAGUUGUCAUUUUACAUCAUGUCAUAUUUUUUUAAUUAUUAAAGCUGGCAUUUAUUGAAGGUCAUUUAUUGGCAAACAUUUCAACUUCAUAACCUACCUUUUUGUAUUAUAAAUAGUUGGUCGGAUUAUUUGUAGGAUUUAUUGUCCAUAGAUAGGGUCUUCUCUUUUCAAACUUUCUUUUCAUCCGUAACAAUUAAAUGCUGAGUAAACAUUUUUUUAUUUUAAAAUCUUGUUUGUUAAAAACAACCGCGAUAUAUAUAUACAAAAAGAGAAAAAGAAAAUCUUUUCAUUUUUAGUUUUCCUUCAUUAUUGAAAAAAAUGUUGUAUAAAAAAAUGUAAAUUAGUUACAUAACAUUCAAUUUUUUUCAAAAUUUAAAAUGAAAAUCAGAAACAUACAAAUGUUACUUAAGGAAGAAGUCGCAUUGCAAAAAUUUGCCCACUUUGUAGAAAGGAAGGCAAAAGCAGUGGCUGAAGUGGAGAAAAUCCAUUCUUGUGGAAGGAAAUGGAUAUAAGGGGUUUUUGGAUUGAGAUUAAUGUUGCUAGUGAGGUCCAUUCCAUUCUCUCUCUCGUUUUCUUUUUCUUCCUAUGGGAUCUUUAUGCUGAGGUUGAUGCUCUUAUUAGUCGUUUAAAUGUUAGGGGUGACAUAUGCUCCAUAUUUGUAAUGGUGUGGACGUGUGGUCCAUUCUUUUGGCUAAUUUUGCAUUGUCGUCUUGUGAUUCUUUUAGAUUGACUCAUUAUUGUCUUAAUUAAUUAGUUAAGAUCGUUUAUGAAUGAUUUUCUUUAAAAAUAAAAAGCAAAAAGAACCAUUAGUAUGAUAUAAGCUACGUCAAAUCAAAUAAUACCCUCUUACUUUAAACAAAGAGGCCUCACAGUUGAAGCAACUGCAAUGAUUGGCUGUUUUGGUGCAAUAAUGUGGACCAAUGUGUCUGUCUGCUAUACAACAGAGGGAUUUAAAAGGAAUGUCUUUGUAUUGAACUGUUGAGUAAGAAGAUGGGUUAUUAAUUAUGAUGACAAAAAUGGGGAAAAUUUGUGUCAGAAAGUUUGAACAUCAUUUUGAAAUGUAUUUAGUGUAGUUGAGGGACCAAUCUUGAGUGCUCCCUCUGCAUUCCCAAGUACGAUAUGUUGCAUUACAACCCAUUUUGUUGUCUUUGAUUUAUAUUGCUUUAGAAAACUGUGUUCAACCUCAUAUUUCAUUUUUUGUUUUAUUCUUCAUCAAUGCAAUGCAACUACCAUAGAUAAUAAAAGAAAAGUAGACAUUAAAAAAAAAAAAAAAGUCCAUAAGAGAUUGAAUUAGUUAUAACCCAUAAACUAUCUCAUAGACUAUAAUAAACACACAUUAUAAUAACUCACUCUACGACUCAAAUGCCUCCUUAAGAGUUAAGACUAUAAUAACCCACUUCUUGUUCUAAAGCCAUCUUUCGAAUUGGUGCCUUAUCGUUCAUAAAAGGUAUUAGAAAAGGUGGGUGAUUAUGGUAAUAUAUUUGUUUAGUCUUACUUUUAUUUUUCUUUUCCAAUUCAUUAGGUAGCAUUAACAACUCUAUUAUUAUUCAAAUUUAAAGAAUUUCCAAUUGGAAAAGCAAGUUUUAAAAAAAAUAUAAAAGCGUGAAAGUUAGAAUCAAUAAACAGUGAAUGAAAGUAGAAAAAGAAGAAAAUAAUGAUUUUGCACUUCAAGAUGGGCAUCAUUAAUUCCUUAGCCAAUAAGAGUAAGAGUGUGGCAGACUAAAAAAUAAACGCGCCAGGUAGGGGUCGAACCUACGACUUUCUGCUUAGGAAACAGACGCUCUAUCCACUGAGCUACAGGCGCUUCUUGUUAAUUAAAAUGCAUCUAUUCAUAUAUUGUUUGAAAUACAUAACACCAGGUGUCCAUUCCUCUAUUUUGACGUCACACUACACGUGUCAUACCCCUACUCGUCGCAUAAUAUCCUUCGAAUUUAUUGUUUUUUUAAAAAAUGGAUUUGAAACGAUUUUAAAUUGAUUAUUUUGUUUGAAUAUAGAAAAGAUUUAAAACGUGGAUAUUUUAAAUUUUGAAUUUGAAUUGCAAGGGAAAAAGAAAAAAAAAGUUUAAAAAUGUUAAAAUAUAUAGCAAUAAUAAGUAGAAUGUUGUUGGAAUAUUAAAUAAAUAGAUUAAUUCCAUGUCAUCAUCCAUCUGAGUCAAUCCAAUCCCACCGCUGGGUGCAGUGUCGACGGUGACUAUUAAUGGAAAACACAAGCGGCGCGUCUGUUUUAUUCUGUUUCAAUUAAUGAACAAAUCACAUAACCCCAAAUUAAACACACUUCUUAUUAAUUAUUAGUAUCCACUUCUACCCAAAUUAAUAAUAAUAAUCAUAGUAAUAUAAUUUUGUAAAACUCAUUUUCAUUUUAUAUUUUUAAAUAUAAAUAAUAAUAAUAAUAAUAAGUCAAAUCCCUCACCAUCUGUGUUGGAUUCCUUAAGAAUUUUACACAAAAUCACUUCCACAAAUUCAAAAAGUUAAAAUGUAAUUAAAAAGAAAUGAAGGGAGAGAGAGAGAUGGACGUUGGUGUAUGAGAAGGAGUAGGCUCCACUGACGCGUACCGGCCCCCCAUUUUUCUCAUCUCUAAUUUUAGCUCUCCCUUUCCUUUCUCGACCCUUUCCUUUCUUCAUAAUCCUUUUUCUUUCUUUUUUUUUCCUUUUUCUCUUUAAUUAUUCAUUUUUUUUAUUUUUAUUUUUAUUUAUUUAUUUUCAUUCUUUUCUAUUUUUCCUUUUCCCAUUUUCCGGUGAUCAUUAUUUUUCAUUUCCGCUUUCCUUUGACUUCUUCAUCAUCUUCACCAUCUUCAUCAUCUUCUUCCUCCUCCUCCUUUGCUGCUUCUUCACGGUAUGCUUCUUCUUUUAAUUCUAUGCACUUUCUUACCUUCAUCAUUAAUUUGCUUCCUUUCUUUCUAUUACUGUGACUCCAUUCCACCUUUUACUGCCUUUUGAUUUCUCUUCAUUUUUUUUUAUGUUUCCCAUUUGAUAUCUUUGAUGCGCUUUAUCAUUUGUAUCUCCUCUUCUGUUCUGUAAGAGCUGUGUGAUUUCGCCUUUUUAAUUCCUUUUCCUAUUUUUCUUUCCUUAAUUGCUCUCAUUUAAUUCCACUAUGUAUGUUGUUGUUGAAUUUUGCCUGUUUAUGUUCUCUCAUUUAAUUAGACUGUGAGUUGUUUCGUGCUUCUUUAUUUUGCUUUCCUUUCUGGAAUCUGGCGGCUGUAGGCGGGAUGGAGGGCGGAUGCGCUUAAUUACUAUCUCUGUUUUUCUCGUUUUUGGAACCAGAGGAGGUUUUUUCGAUGUGCGCACUAGGUGUUGACGUUAAUUGUUUUCCAGGUUUGAUCGGCUCUACGUUUAAAUGUUAAGUCUUUAUAGGAUUGAAACUUAAGGUUUACAAACUUUUUGGAAAGCGUCUUGCGUCGCGUCCUUUUUGGGUACCAGAAAGUAUUUACUUCGUCGGUGAAACACAUUGGUGUAGCAGAAAUUCUUAGACGAUUCUAUGUUGAUCUAUUUAGAAAAUUAGGUUAUCUCAUGGAUCGAUUAGAGGUGGCUGCUAUUAAGCUCAAAAUGGAUAAUUUUUUUAAGAAAUAACCUUAUAUCUUUUCUUUUUUUAAAAAAAUAUGUGUGUGAGGGUGGUGGGGGAUCCGAACCUCAAACUUCUUGUUUAAGAGUAUACACGUUUUGUAGAUUUAGCUAUGCUCUCUUAGGGAUUAAUCUAAAAUCUUUGGUGUAUGCCAAGUCGCGUACCACUUCAUAGUUGUAGAUAUAGGUAUUAAAGAAUAUACCAUAUUUAUAACUGAGACUUGAUUAACUAUGCUUGGAUCAAACUUUUUUAGCCUAAUACAAUUUUUCAGGAGCAUUUGAGGAAAGCUGAAUUGUUGAUCAAAUACAAGGAAUUUAAUAUUCUAGUUUAAAACAUUCCGUGGAGUAAUAUGAAAAUGGUUCAAAACGAAAUGAUAAAACAUUGACUUAGCAGUGGAUAAAAAGCUGAAAAUGGUUAUCACUUUGAUUCUUUGACCCUUGAUUAAAUGUGUCAAAUGUGUCAUGAUAAUUUCUAAUGGUUCGUGAAUCUGGUUCUUCUUAUUCACUGAUUUGUCAUUGGCAUGAUAACAUUUUGCUUCUGACUGUAGUUUCCUAAAGUUGCUGUCUAGUUAAUUUUGCAAAACAGGAUUUAAAAUUAACGAUUUUGGGUGCUUUGUGCUUUCUAUGGUUUCAGCUCAGCUACAGCUCUCUGUUGGCAGUAUUUGUUAACCCUGUUCGAUGGAUGAUGUGAAAUUAGCUAAUCAUACAUCUUCUUCACAUUCCUCAUUAAUCUCUCAAGAGGAUAGUCAUUCUCUUGAUGAAAAUCCAAACCACCUAGUUAACAAUGGAAUUGUUGGUCCCAGCCAAGUUCUCCCAAAUUCUGUUGCUAAUGGGAAGUUGGAAGGUAAAAUUGAAUGCUCUCCAAGUCCAAUUGAUGGAACUGUGAUAUCUGAGAGUCCACAUCAAAUAUCUGAAAAUUCUGUAAUGUCAGCCAUAGAAGGUGGUCCUAGCCCGAGAGAUGCAAAUAUGAGACAAGAUGAGGGUAUUGCAUCCAAUAAUUCAGGUUUGAGUUCAACAGUUCCAGAUGAUAGACUAGAGGAACAAAAUCCAACUACCUUGAUGGAAGACCCCAGAACUCAGUCAGUUGAAGAUAUGUCUGAGAAACGUUCUCAAGAACAAUCUACUGUCCAUAGUGGUUCUGCUAAUGAUGUCAUUAUGCCAUCUGUUAUUUCUUCGGUUGAGGUUCUGCCUGAGAAAUGUCCUCAAGAACAAUCUACUGUCCAUAGUGAUUCUUCUAAUGAUGUCACUCUGCCAUCUGUUAUUUCUUCAGUUGAGGAUAUGCCUGAGAAACUUCCUCGGGAACAAUCCCCAAUCCAUAGUGAAUUUGCUGCUAUCAACGAGGUCACUCCAUCUGCUGUCUCUUCAGUUGAGGAUAUGCCCGAGAAACUUUCUCAGGAACAAUUUCCAGUCCAUAAUGACUCUGCUACAGUCAAUGAUGACAAUACGCCAUCUGUUCUAUCUUCUGAGGCAGUGGUUAUACAGAAUGAAGGUGCUGUACAAUUAGAUAGGCUCACAGAGGGGGAGAGAGUGUCGUGUGGAAAAUCGGAAUCUGUUGAUUCUCCCAUAGAUGGGAAACAAAGUGAUAUAAACAGAGGCCUUAUUGAUACAACUGCACCAUUUGAAUCAGUUAAAGAAGCCGUUUCAAAGUUCGGUGGGAUUGUUGACUGGAAAGCUCAUCGAAUCCAGACAGUUGAGGUAUAACUUGCUAGACUAUUAUUGUGAUCCUUUCACAGUUUAAAUGUUGUGGCACCCCUUACAUGAUGCAUUGGGGUGGGUUAGGUUUUCCUAAUAUUGUUGGAUAAAAUAACUGUCUUUUGUUGCUAGCCUAUCAUGAAAAGGGUAUUAAUUUAGUUGUCACGGCUGUGUACCUUCAGAGCAAAAGACACAAAAAGUAUUUCUCAUUGGUUAUUAGCUUAUUGUAUGUAGUAUCUGAUGAAGCUGUGCUCUUAGCUGGUAAUAACAGCAUACUUCGAAAAUGCAUAUCUGUGGCAUGUUACUUCAGGGUUCAUUUGUGAUUACAGGAUGGUUGUAAUUGGGGGACAAGUUUAAAUGUGAAGUGAAGCGGAGUUUGUCUCAUUAUUUCACAAUUAUGUUUCCAGAUUCUUGUUGAAAUUCUAAUUCUUCAAAAAUAUUCUAAUAGAUACUGUUGUAUGUGUAACGCAUUCACCUUGAUUGUGCGUGAUUGGGUAUAGCCCCACUACGAUUGUGCAUGAUUGGGUAUAACUCCACUGCUUGUUGAAUUUAAGUAAUUGAAUUCAUUCAACCCCCCGAUAGAUUCAAAUGAUUUUUCUAGUAUAGCUAAUAGUUAUAUCUUUUAAAUGUUGCAGAGACGUAAGCUUGUGGAGCAAGAACUUGAGAAAUUACAAGAGGAGAUUCCUGAAUACAGGAGACAGUCGGAAACUGCUGAAGAUGAGAAAAAGAAAGUUCUAAAAGAACUGGAUAGCACUAAGCGAUUGAUUGAAGAACUAAAGCUUAAUCUAGAGAGGGCACAAACAGAAGAGCGUCAGGCAAGGCAAGAUUCUGAGCUAGCGAAACUCAGGGUUGAAGAGAUGGAGCAAGGGAUUGCUGAAGAGGCUAGUGUAGCAGCCAAGGCGCAGCUUGAGGUUGCUAAAGCCAGGCAUGUAGCUGCAGUUUCAGAGCUUCAAUCUGUCAAAGAGGAGUUGGAAUUACUUUGUAAAGAGUUUGCUUCUUUAGUCAUAGACAGGAAUGCAGCAAUAGCUAAAGCUGAAGAUGCUGUUGCUGCAUCCAAGGAAGUUGAGAAAGCAGUAGAAGAUCUAACCAUUGAGCUUAUGGCUAACAAGGAGUCGUUAGAGUCUGCACAUGCUUCUCAUUUGGAGGCAGAGGAGCAAAGAAUAGGUGCAGCUAUGGCCAGAGAGCAAGAUUCUCUUAACUGGGAGAAAGAGUUGAAGCAGGCCGAAGACGAGCUUCAGAGUCUUAAUCUGAAAAUUAUGUCAGCAAAGGAUCUGAAAUCAAAACUCGACACUGCCUCAAAUUUGCUAAUAGACUUAAAAGCUGAAUUAGCAGCUUAUAUGGAAUCGAAACUGGAAGAGGAGCCUGAUAAUCAGGAUGGUAACACAAAAGGCGAGGGAGAGGAUCCGGAAAAGAAAACACACACAGAUAUACAAGCAGCUGUUGCUUCAGCAAAACAGGAACUUGAGGAAGUAAAACUCAAUAUCGAGAAAGCAAGUUCGGAAAUAAACAUCCUGAAGGUGGCCGCAACAUCAUUGAAAACAGAGCUUGAAAGAGAGAAGUCUGCUCUAGCUACCUUGAAGCAAAGAGAAGGAAUGGCAUCUAUAGCAGUUGCAUCUCUUGAGGCUGAAGUGGAAAGAACUAGGUCAGAAAUAGCCUUAGUUCAAAUGAAGGAAAAAGAGGCCAGGGAAAUGAUGGUGGAGUUUCCUAAACAAUUACAGCAAGCUGCACAAGAAGCUGACCAGGCCAAAUCAGCGGCUCAGGUCGCUCAAGAGGAGCUACGCAAAACAAAAGAGGAAGCAGAGCAAGCAAAAGCUGGAGCAAGUACCAUGGAGAGUAGAUUGCUUGCUGCUCAGAAAGAGAUUGAAGCUGCAAAGGCUUCAGAAAGAUUGGCCUUGGCAGCAAUCAAGGCAUUACAAGAGAGCGAAUCAGCACGAGAUACCAAUAACGCAGACUCUCCAGCAGGAGUUACACUCUCACUCGAGGAAUACUAUGAGCUUAGCAAGUGUGCCCAUGAGGCAGAAGAACAAGCCAACGUCAGAGUGGCAGCUGCACUGUCUCAAAUUGAGGUAGCCAAGGAAUCCGAGUCAAAAAGUGUUGAAAAACUGGAAGAAGUAACCCAAGAGAUGGCUACCAGAAAGGAAGCACUAAAAACAGCCAUGGAGAGGGCUGAGAAAGCCAAGGAAGGAAAGUUGGGGGUGGAACAAGAGUUACGAAAAUGGAGAGCUGAGCAUGAACAACGAAGGAAGGCUGGUGACACUAGCGUUGGAUUAAUGAACCCGAUUGCCAGUCCAAGGGCGAGUUUCGAGGGAAAGAACGAACCGUCUAAUUUAGUCAGCGUAUCUGAUGCCACAGUUACUGAUCCCUCAAUUUCAACUAGCCCAAAGGGAAAUAUGCAAAGAAGUUUUACUACAUUGGAUUCGUUCUCGGAAGCAAAGGCACCAAAGAAAAAGAAGAGGUCGUUUUUUCCUCGAAUUCUCAUGUUUCUGGCAAGAAAAAAGACUCAAUCAAACAAGACAUCGCAAUGAAAUGGAUUGGUUUUGGGAGUACAGAUAUCAUAAUUACACUGUCGAUAGUUUUCAGCUCUGUUUUCAAGUUGGUUUUGUUGAUGGAGAUUAUAUUCAAAUGGGUGAGUUUGGAAGAAAUACGUGAUUGUACAUGAUGGUGAUGGUGAUGGUUAUUUUUAUUUAUAAUUUUUAAAAUUUUUAAACAUAUUUGUAUGAUGAAGAAAAAAGGGUGUUCGUGCGUGCUAUUAAAAAGAAAUGUUGCCGUACACUGCCGAUGGGAUUGAAAAAGAUGUAAUAAGUUUGUACGUUUUGAUUUUUGAAUGAUGAGGCUGUUCUCCUAACGUUCUCUCUCGUGUAUCAAUGAAUGUAUAGGCUUUUUAAAAAAGCUACGAGUUACUCCUGAGUUUACUCCAAUUUAGUCCAUCAACUUGAACUUUACACCCAUUUCUCCUGUCAAACUCACUCCUAUUAAAUUUCUAUCCAUAAAUCACCUCAAAUCAAAUUAAUUUAUAUAGGUAGCAAUUUUAUAAAUAAUAAAUUAAGUACAUUGUGAUAUUUUUAUAAAAUUACAAAUACAUUGUCACCUUUAUAAUUUAUUAACGAUAGGUUAUUAUUAAUAAAUUUUACUAUAUUUGUAAUUUUUGCAACAUGAUUUAUUAUUAAUAAAUUUUACUAUAUUUAUAAAUAUAGUUAAAAAUAUUGUUCUAUAUAUUAAUAUUUUGAAUCUAAUUGCUAUAUUUGUAAGAAAAAAUUAUAAAGAAAAUGUCAACAAGAGUGUUGGUAACAAUCAGUUUUAGUGUACAAAUACGAGGACAAGAAUUUAACACAAUUGGUAAUGAAUGUAUCAGUAACAACAAAAUUUAUAGCUCAAGUCUUCCAUUUUCAAUUAUUAUUAGAAAAAGAGGAAAUUGUUAGAAAUAAAACAUUUUACAAAGUAUUUACACGUUUAAUAAAUUUUAUUUUUUAGUAGUUUUAUUUGAAAUCUAAAUAUGAUUUAUCAAUUUUUCUAUUUUUAAAAAACACCUACAAAGAAUAUGGAAGUGUAAACGUUUUAUUUAUUAAUUUAAACAUCUUUAGAUAUUUUUUGUUCUUAUUUAUUAAGACUACACAUUCAUAUCUUCCUAGAAUUAGGGUUUUAAUGAUGCCCAAACUGUGAGUUUAAUAAAAGUUUAUAAUACAAAAUUAAAAAUUUUAAAACUUAACGAUCAUAUUUUCAUUAUUGAAUGACCAAAUGAACACAAAUUUGAAAUUUAGGUUGAGAUACUUGCUUCCUUGAUAACAAUGGAUUAAAAAUCUAAGACAAGUCCAUCAAGGAACUUGAAAUAGAAUACAAAUUACAAAUACAUUUAGGGAACUCAUUAAUAGAUGUUCAAAACUACCUAAGGCAUCUAUAAGGUUCUAAACAUUACAAUGCCACUUUAGAAAGGCAUCCAACUCCAUCAGAUAAUAUCAAUAGCAUAUUAUAUAUGCUCUGAGGAACUGAAUUUCACCCUCUUAGCCUGCUGCUAGAUAUGCUGAAUGAACUGACUUUCAUGGGUGUUGCAAUCACCAACGGAGCUUCCGGCGAAUCGGUCACCGCAAAUUUUUCAUGCAUAAAACGACUAUCAACAAUGGAGUCAUCUUUGAGAACAAUCUUGUAACAGUAACAGCUCUUCAAACCUUCUUGAUGGCGGUAGCAGUCGUGCGUCCCAUUUUUCACUUGUUGGAAGUUCCAUAUCACACUGAACUUGCCCACAGUUGCAACCAAAUGGCGCUCCUGCUUCCCGUCUUCGGUGACCUAUAAUGAUGGAAAUGUAAAAUUUGUACAAAAAGAUUAUUUGAAAACUGCUAAAGGAUAACUGCGAGAAACUUAGAGACGUGUUGAGACAAUAAUAAGACACGAUUUAGUGACUCAAAUGCCUAAAUUGUCUUCAGCUUCAGUAAUACUCAAUCUAACACUCUCAACACAAACUUUGCAGGUUUCAACUCCACCAGAUUAGUUAACUAACUCGAGGCAAAUGGCUAAUGUAUCUAUGGCUAUUAAAAACAUGAAUAGUUGGCAAUGAGUUUAAAUGACUUAAUCUUCUAUCCUUCAACGGAAGAUUUAUUGUCUCGAAGAACGUGGUAUAUUAUGAAUGACAACAUUACAAGAACGAAGAAGAAAAAAAUGGAGAAUCUAGUGAUCUGGCAUAACAAACAAGGGAAGAUUAUAGACAAGAAAAUGAAUGGUAGAAAACAAGAAGCAGAGGAAACAGGUGAAACGCAAUUGUAUUUGCAGCUGACAAUAAAAAAAACAAAGGAUAAGGUUAUGGACAAGAAAAUGAAACAUACCAAAAAAACAAACAAAGAAAACAGGUGAAACAUGAUUGUAAUUGCAGUUUAUAGCGGAUAAAAAAAAAGCUAAUAAUCAAAUAAGACGAAACAUGUAUACCCAAGCAAUAACAAUACAGUGGCUCAUUUACUCGUACCAACUGCCCACACUAUAUCCUCACUCAAAAGUACAUGUCAGCCGAACAUUAAACUAAAAUUUGAAUAAGCACUUCUCAAAAUUUAAACAUCAAAAUUUGCAAUCUGUUCAUGUCUUCAUGCUAGAUCAAGAAACGAUCAAUCUACUAACCCUGCGGCCCAUUGAUGUGAAAUUUCAAUGGCACAACAAGCGUUUGACAGUUGGGCAAAACAUCCUCUAAUAAAAAGACAAGCGAAGCAUAAAACUAUAUAAAGUCCAGUCAAUUAAGAGUGAGCUAGAACAACGAUAACUUCAAGAUUAAUCCUGAUAAAUGGAGAAAGACAAGAAACAAACAUACCCAUGAAAAUUGAGCAUUUCGAAACUUAUUAUCUACUCCAGCUAAAUGAGAAUCCAGAGGAGUCAGUUUCAGCAAUCUUGGAGCUGAAAUCCUAUUCCCCAUUCGACCAGAAAAUCCAGUCUUCAUCUUCCCAUCCUUAUCAGUAAAGAGAGUGCAAAUAAGAAUCAGAUAAGAAUCUGUUGUCCCCAAAAUCCAUCUACCGUCAUAGGUAACAUCUACAUGUGUAAUAGGUGAACCAAGGCCUGGAAAAGCGGUUUUUGCUUGUCUCAUUGAAUUGAUAGAAUACAACCUAAUUUUUCCAUCAAGCGACCCAACAACAAUAGAGCCAUCGCCAGUGGUUGCAAAGCACUGGAAAUUGGUGCCUCUAGAAAACUGAUGCCCUUGUGCCCAAUUCAAGACAGGAGUGCUAGAAGUAGCAAGAUUUUGAACCAUUCCUUUCCUAUCUCGCAUAUCCCAUCUACAAAGCCUGUUGUCAUCCAAACCCAAAAAUGUUGAGCCUGAAGGAUCCAACUGAGCCCCUUUAGAAUCAUUUGUAAUAUCCCUCAUUGAAAUAUCAACUCCAUCUUUUCCGAACUUCCAUUCAGUAACAAUUUUCCCUGUUUCAAUGUCAAGCUGAUGAAGUCCAGAAGUAUGGGGCUUCCCCUCGUUCAUUGGACUCAUCAAAAGCAUAUUGGUCUCAGCCUUCAUAAGAAGGGCCUUCUUCGGGGUUGAGUAUGCCAAACACGAACCGCCUCCACGAGGACCCCGAUUUCCAUGAUCAAUAUUCACAUACAUACCCUUUCCCUGAAUUCCAUGAGAGAAGUUCUUGACGACCUGAAUUCCUGAAUCGCCAACCAAGAAACUGUUGUCUAAUGCACCUAGAGCUAAACUCUUAAUCCCACCAUCGGCAGCUUCCUCAAACUCCUCCAUUAAAUCGUUUGCCCUGACAGGCGUAGCUGAAUUGGGACUUUUUGAGAAAUCUUCCUCAGCAUCUUCCCACAUUGAAUCAUCCGCCACUUCAGGGUUUGCCCAACCAAUGAAAUCCUUCCCAUAAACCUUCAAUCUAUUCUCCUCCGUAUCCUCAUAUCCAUAGGUAUUCUCAAAUAAACACCCCUUAAAUUUUUCCACAAAAAUCUUAUAAUCUUCAUCGCUGAAAAAUUUCAACGCCCAGACACCCUGCGCAACAAAAUCCACACGCCGCUGAUCUCCGAAUGUUUUCAAUUGCACUUCUGACGACACUCUCACUCUAAUUUUCGAUCCAACCCUCAAAAACCACCAAGAGUCAUCUUGCCCCUCCUCCUCCUCAUCAUCAUCAUCAUCUUCUUCCUCUUCAUCACCAUUGUCACCCUUAUCAAUUCUGCAAGACUUCAAAAAAGAGUAAGUAGUGAGUUUUUCGGAGGUAAUCCAUUUCGCUUUAGGAGUAUUGCCAUUAAUAUGGAGGUAAAGCUUCACUGCGUUCUUCAAAGUUGGUUUCUGAGACGAUCCGUACUUGAGCUUAAGAGCCCUGAGUUUCGCCUCCACUUCAUCCACUGAAGAUGGCGUCUUCGGACGUCGCUCUGAAGAUCUUUGAUGCUCUUCUUCAACAUCCUCGUAUUUCUCCUCAUCUUCUACAUUAGUUACCCCGUUCUCAUCUUCACGAUCGGAAUCUGACAGUUCCAGACCCUCGCGACUUUGAGAUGCUCCCAUUAUCAAAGCCUUCAAGUUUGGAUUACCGGAAAUAGAGAUCGAAUCAAAUGGAAAAUGAAGCAGAAUCGAAAGGACAAAUGGAGACGUAGAAAUGAGGAGGCGCCAAUUUCGAAAUUUGAAAAUCUGGAGCGUUUCUGUCUGUUCUGUAGUGACACUUUUUAGGGUUCCUCUUUCACAAUGACGCCGAUAACCGGUUGCCUUUCUCUUUGUAACUGAUUCGACUCUUAUCUCAUCUUACCAACUUUAUGUGGGCUUUCAUUUAUUUAUUGGACUUUCUUUUGGGCUCUCAUUUCGGCCCAUAUUUCAACACAACCUUACUACUACUUACUAGUGUGAAUGUGCUCUAUUUAUUCGCAUUUGUUGUUAUUUAUUAUUGUUCUAUAACCACUAUGAAACAAAUGAAUGAUAUAAUUACGUUUUGAUCAUUCAAGACAGCCUUGAUGAAACAGAUGUAAGUGUUUGAUGAAGAAAAGUUGAAAGGUAAGUGUUGAAGAAGAGAAGUUGAAAGGGGAAAAAGGCCUUCCCAAAUAUCAUCUCAUUUACUAGAAAAAUGUUUGAUUUUUCUUUUUCAUAUAUAUCAGUUCAUUUUGAUGUGGGUACAUUUAUUUUUUUAUUUACUAAAAUUGAGAAAUGUUUGAAAUCUAAGUAUAGUUAUUCCAACGAAAUUAAUAUCUUUUGAUUGCUCACAUUUGUCUUCUAGUAAUAAACAUGCUCUGUAUUCCUAAGUUAAGAUGGAUUCAACCAGCAAGAUCAUAUUUGAUUUCAAUUAUUCUUUGUUUUUAUUACAAGUACAUUAUGGGACAUCUAUGGAAAUAAAAGUGAUGUCUCAGUGGCUAUGUUUAUCCUCUAGAGAAUGAGAAAACUAGAGAUUGAGAACACAUUGAAAAUUUAGAUUAAGGUUUCUCAAAGUAUUACAAUAAAAUGAGGCCAUUAAAUGCUACACCAAGGAAAUCCAUCGAACAUUUUACAUAAUAGAAGUAAACACAAUUAAAUAACGUAAAACUAUUAAAUUUCAAUACUAAAUAAUAUUCAGCUAAGGCCACAUUUAGAAGUCACAAUGAAUAUAUGUGUAAUCUAAACGAGAUUCUAUAAGUAAUUAACUGCAACACUACUUUUUACAUUAACGCUAAUGGAUUACUUAACUAGAUAAUGAUGAUGAUUACUAGAGGAGGUCAUUAGAUGAUGGAUUACUAGAAGUUGUCAACUCACAAGAACAAAUAGUCCAUUUAGCCAAAACUAUGUUUAGUGAAUAGUUAUUCAAAUAUGUUUAUACCAUUUUUCUUUUCUAUAUAUAAUUUUAAGAGACACUCUAGAAGGGUACUUCAAACAUUUCAAAAGAGUGCUUGCAACAGAUAGGGGGAAAAGCACAAAAAAAGGCAACAAUUCAUGUAUAUGAUAAUUUAGUUAACUGAUUUAUAAUGUCGAUAAUCAACGUUGAAGAGUCACAAUAAAUUAUCACAAGGUCAUAGAUUCAAACCAUGGUGGUCACCUAUUUAGAAAUAAACUUUCUACGUCUUUGCUUGACAUCCAAAUGUCGUAGAAGUAUGUUGUGUGCAUGUAAGUUGGUCUACACUAACUAACAUAUUAUAUAUAUUGUAUAUAUACACACAUAUCUCUCAUUGUGCAAGUGGUUAUCACCUUAAUCUUAUCCCCUCAACCUACAAGCAUGCAUAAACAAACCAGCAGGAGAAUCUAAAACUAGGCAUGAAUUGUAAGCACAGAGUAAUGGCAUUGACUUGAAAAAAGGGUGAGAAUGAAAGUGCUAACAGCUCUAAACAUAGCAACUCAGACAAAAUAAAUGCAACACAAAAAAGAGAAAACGAACAACAGAACACUUAAAAGAGCAAUUUGCAUGCCUUGUGAAAGGUUUGGAGCCAUAUUGCACAAAGAGAAAAAUGAUUUGAACAUUAAAUAAGGAGAAAUAGUUCCCAACAUGUUAUGAUAUCCUACAAGAGAAUUGGACUAAUACUUUUGACACUGGAAUUAUUGAUUUGGAGACAAUUGAAAGCAGCUUCUUUUAACUUUUAUUGUCUAAAUACCCAUCCAUAUAUCUUCCAACAUUGACAAUGUGUGGUAGCUUCAGGAACAGCAGUUUCCCUCUUCUGUCCGCUCAUAACUUCGCAGGCUUCGGGAAAAUGUCGGGAGUGAAUUUCUGUGCCGCACUGAUACUCCCCUUGAUUUGAAGAGCACCCCUGCGGAGUUAACACAUUUCUAUAAAGCUAGGACUAAUAUGGUAGGACUUGGGUUAAAAACGUAUUCAAUAAGAAUUUCUGAACGAAACACCACUCGAGUAUUUCAGGAGUUUAGUAUGAAUUUAAGGAUGGUGGGAAGCAGUUCAAGCCGACUGAAAAGCACUUGAAAAUUGUCGUAGUAUUCAAAAAAUGAAUUUCGAACUGUGAAGUGCUUUUGAAGGAAGCAUCUAACUAGUGUUUCUACCAAAAUGUGUCACACUUGAUUCACGCAACUCUUGGUCACAAACUAAACAUUAUGACAAAUUUGAAAAGCAAUUCUAACAGAUAACAAACAUCCUUGACUUCAAAUUCAUGGUUAAAUUCACUCAAAAUAAGCAAUUUGAAGAAUAGGCAGAAACAUAACCCAAAAUAACGAUGAUAAAAAUGACCUAAAAUACCUCAAGAAAGCCAUCUGAGGAUUCAUCUUCCCCAAAGCAAUUUUAAUGAAAUCUUCGUCCUUGAAGGAUAAGGUGGCGUCUGGUUUUCCUCCUUCGUAUGGACCUGAGCUCAAAACAGACAUAAUGCUGUUUUCAAUUUAUCAGCCGAAACAUAUAAAUAUGCAAUCCCAUUUCUAAAAGAUUAAAUUUGUCUGCUACUUAGAAGAUGACAAAUGCAAUUGCAAAUUGAUAGCUAUAAUGCCACAACAGAUUCUAAAAGUUUUUUUUAUUAUUAUGUUUAGAUUAAGAAAAGCCUCGUAAUGACAGCAAAAUUCAUCAGAAAAUAUUAGGAGAUGAAUUCAUCGAAAAAUAUUAGGAGAUAAAUCCAUCGGAAAAUAUUAGGAGAUAAAUCCACCUUCCACCAUAAUCUAUUUCUUCCUUGGAAUGAUCACUAACGAGAUUGAAAGGAGACAGAGUAAAAGCAUACAGAAAUCGGUCAAAUGACGUCUCACACAAGAAAAAUCUCCAAAUCCAAGAAAUAGAAAUUAGAAACCCUAACCUUUGAUAACCUCCCCUUUCUUGAGAUCAAUAGUAUAAACCACCACAUCAGUUCCGAUUUUCUGCCAACAAUUCAAUUCGAAUUCAAAACUUCAAAACACCAGCAAAAUUAGAAGAAAAAAAAGUAGAGGAGAGAAAGAGAGAGAUAAUAGACCUUGGGAGAAAUAUUAAGCUGAUAAACAUAGCCGACUUUCUUAGCGAUCUCUUUUCCGGCAUCGGUAGAGAGAUGCUGCUUCAUCUGAUCCAAUAGAGCAUCGGAUUUGAGGGAAGAAUUAGAGGAAUUCGCCAUUGGCAACGACGUGGAGAGCAGAAAAUGAAGAGAGAGAGGUGAAGGAAAAUGGAACGUGGAUGAUGGGAUUUUAACAUUGUGAAAGAGAAAUUGAGAAGAGGAGUAAAUUGAAUAAUGAGUUGAUGGGUCUGACGAACAAACAGCCCCCAAAGCAGCUGCUAUGAACACGCAUCCCAACGCUGAUAAGCACUUUUGUCAUUUAUGGGCCUACUCCAACCUUAACGAACUACAAAACUUUCAUACUUAAUGCUUUUGAUUUUUUCAUCAUUAUUUUAUUUUAGCUUUCUUCCUUUAUCCUCAUAGUUUAUUGGUAUUUUUGGAUGGAAAAAUAGACACAUUAUCAUCCCUAUUCCCUAAUUCCAUAUUUUAUAGUUAACUUUGAUCACAAUUUAUUGCAAACAAAUUGAGAUAGACACCCAAUUGGCGUAUAUAUAAGUUGAAGUCAUGAGGAUAGUUUGAGAUCGACAGUUUAAAUCUUUAGAUCUAUGUCAAUUAAAAGUACGCAAGACUGCCAAUUAAUGAUGGUAGCAUAAACAUGGAUUAAAAACAUAAAGCACAAGUUUGGUAUAAUUAGUUGAAAGUUUUGAUUAUUUAUGAAAUUAAAAUUUUAGACUAAUAUAAACUGUUUGAGUACAGAUGGAGAAGGGGAGAGGAGAAAAUGGAUUCUUGAAACGACAGCCCAAGUCUUGGGCUUGGGCUGGGAUUUGGAUUGGAUGGCAAUCGGCCCACUUAGUGCGGGCUCAUAUUCCCGUCUACAGUUUUCUAAUGGGCUAUCUUCCAAAAUCUCGCUGGAAGGCCUUGAAAGGGAACGGGAAAUGGACUAUGCUGAACCCUGUUUUGCGAGCCAACCAAUUCCCACCUGCCAAAGUUAGCAAAAAUAAACAAAAAAAAUAGUUAUUACUCUCGAAAAGUAGAAGAAGAAGAAAAGGCAAAUAGUCACUAUCUAAACGAAUCGUUUUGACCUGAACUUGGUGACUAGAUGAUGAAUCAUGAUCAAGAUCUCGAGCUUGGCAAGUUCAUUUCCUGGGCAGGCAUGAACUCCACUGCCAAAUGGCAUAAAUGUAUUGGGUUUUGGUGCAACCUGAACAGUAACCCACAUUUUAAUUAAAAUAAUAAAAUAGUAUUUGAAUUUAUAAAGUGUUUAGUUUUAGUUUGAGUUGUUUUUACCUCAAAUCUAGAAGGGUCGAAAUUGUGAGGAUCAGGAAAAUAUUCUGGACUGUGAUGGAUGUUCCGAAACAAAGGCAUCACUUUCCAACCUUUUGGAAUCAAGUAUCCUGUUACACGUCAUUUCACAAAAAAAUUCAUAUUAUUUAUUAUAUUAUUAUGUUCAAACUAAAAGAAAUAAAAUUCAAUUUUAUUUUCUGUUUUUUUUUUUUAUUCUUUUUUCCUUUUACCUUUGUAUUCCACAUCAGCUACAGCCUCUCUAAAAGUGAAUGAUAUAAUGCUGGCCAUCCUUAAGCUCUCCAAUACCAUCUGUGUUUUUAACAAAAAAAUCCACAUAAAUCAAUCUCUUAAAAAUCAUUUAUUAGUUAAUAAUAAUACAAAUUCAUUCAGAAAAUUAACCUUGUAAGUGAUUGGCAUGUUCCUUGUCUGUACCCAAUUUAACCCUUGAUUAUUCUCACAAUUUAAUUUUAAAAUUUCCUCUUGCUCAGCCUGAAAGAAAACCAAAAAAAAUUAUGUAGGUGAAUAGUGAAUAGUGCAUAGUGCACUCAAAAUAUUACUCGUUUUAUAAACUGUCCGUUAUAUUGUGGUGGUCGACUAUACCGAUACGUACCUUUAUGGAUUGACGAAGCUUGGGACGGUCAUGGAGGUACUUAACAAUCCAAGUCAUGACACUGGCAGUGGUGUCUUGAGCAGCAAAAAGCGCUCCUAUUAUGUUAUCUGCUAUUUGGGAAUCACUUAUUUUAACUUCACAUUCAUCAUCAAUGGAAUUGAGAAGGCUCCCCAAUAAAUCCUUUUCUCUCAGCCUUCUUUCUCCCCUCUCAUGAAUUAUGUCACCUAGGAUUUUAUUUAGCCUCUUUCUUGCCUGUUAAGAACACAGAAUUCUUUUAUUUAUAUAUGUUUUUUUAAAAUAAUAAUAAUAAUAAUAAUAACAAUAAUAAGAUAAGAUAAGACAAAUUUUCUUUUUGCCUUUAUUUUAUUUUAUUUUUGUUCUGAAGUUUGACUUACUGAGAGUGCCUUUUUGUAUGGAGUUCCUGGAAUGUUGGUGGGAAAAGAAUUGUAGCCUGCUUCCAAUAUGCUGUAGUUUUUUUUAAGGUCAUCUUUGUAAGCAGCUUCCAAAUGGCCAAAAAUGGUCAAUAUCCCAACUUCAAAUGAUAUCUGAUUAAUUAACAAAAACAACCCUUUGAGUCAUAAUUGACAUGCAUUUUCUUAAAAAAACGAUUCUAGAUUGAUGAAGCUUAUUAACAAACCUUUUUCAUUUCAUGAAAGGUGUUAAUAACACCGGAGGUGGCCCAGGAGUCGAGGGCGGAGGCGGCCACGGAGUCGAUAUCGGGGACUAAGGUACGGAUGGAGUCCAAAGAAAGAGAGCUCUGAACCAGCUUCCUUAGACGGCAAUGGUAAUCACCUUGGUGAAAAAACAGAGCAGAUGGGCCAAUUAAAAGCUCUUUGCUUUUGGGGUAUGUUGGUUUAAACAAAUGAGCCUGUGUCACUAACACAAAUCUCGCUGCCUCAGGACUAGCCAACAUCACACAAGGACAUCCAAGUAUAUGGGUCUUAAAAAUCUCUCCAUACCUUAAAAGAAACACAAAAAGGACAUAGUUCAACAAUUAAGAUAUUUCAUAACUUUGAAAACGAAAAAGAAAAUGUUCGAACCUUUUUUGUUUGGCAGCGAAAAAAAAAUCGGGGUGUUGAGAAUAGAGUUGAAGAGUUUCUCCAAUAUAAGGCCAUCCUAAAGAACCAGGAGGGAGCUUAGUUCCAUCUCUAAUGGCUGCCUUCUUGUCUCUCUUUAAAGAAAUGUACCAUAAUAGAGUGAGAAAAAAGAUCAAAAUAGAUAGAAAAACUACACCCAUUUAAUCUUUCUCUAUAUGAAAUUGAUUAAAUGGUUUUUUUUCUUUUAAAUAUUUGGUUUGUAAUAAUAGUGAUUGUGCCAAAGCAGGGGGGUUUUAUACUGAGGCAGAGGAGGGAAAAAAAAAAAGUGGAGAUGUCAUUUUUGAAGAUACAGAGACCCAAAGUCUGUUACAAAUGGCAAGUUUUUAAGUAUCCAAUAGAAUGAGGACAAAUAUGUAAAAUAAUAUAUCUAUAUUAUGUGUAUCUUAAAAUGCAUGUGUUUCCAAUCUUUUCACCAUACACAAAUAUAAUUAAAAAUUGCUUUUUCUUAAAUUUUAAUUUUGUGUGACAGAAAAAAUAGAAAAUACAUACAAAGUUUUUUUUUCUUUAUAUCAUACAUAUAUAUAUAUAUAAAGAAAAGAUGAUACCAAAGACAAGACCGUGGGGUUCAUUAAACCAAACUUUUUUAUGAUCAGUUACAUUGUGUCUCACCUAGGUAUGAUCCACACAUUAAUUUUGGAUUGAAACUACUAUGUAUUAUGUUAUGUAGCCUUUGGUCAUGUGUGUGUGUAUAUAUAUAUAUAUAUUUCUUUUAUAAUUCUAUAUAUAUUUCAAAAUCAAUAUACAUGAAAAAGGGAAAAUUGGAUAAUUGAUAAACACAAUAAAUAACUUUCCUUAGUUGUGUAUAUUGUGAACACUCAUCACUUAGUGGUCACUUUCAGUUUCAACUCCAUUCAAUUUUACUGACCAUGUCCACGUGUGUCAUUUCCCCCUAAAUUAGUCGAGCGUUAUUUUUUUCUUUUUAAAACAAAAUUUCUUGCCCUGGAAUUUUGUGGGUGGUUUUCUUUUUACCAAAAGAAAUAACAGUCAUCUGAGUAAGAGUUUCUCACGAAAAAACUAACAAAACUCAUCAAUAUUGUAGGAUAGAUGAGUUAUUAUUUUCGUUGUCAAUUGAGUUUGAGAUGAUAUUUUAUUUAAAUCUUAUUAUUGUUGUGUGAUGAAAAUAGAAUGCACAAAAAUGUAACGAUUCUUAGUACGUCAUUUCUAUAGAUAAAUUUUUAUUAUUCUCUUUUAUUACAAAUGUGAUCUAAACUGGAAGGCGUGUGUAAUGAUAAAAAUAACUCAUGUACUAUCUUUAGCAUUAGUGUUUAUGUUGUUUCGUAGUUCGUACAUACUUUUAAUUUCACUAGAUUUGAAGUCAUUUAUUCAUCGUUAAUUAACUAACAAAUAUAUGACGUAAGUCAAAUCAAUUAUAAUAAUUUUAAAUCUCACUUUCAUUGAUUGAACAUGAAAUUAGUUGGCAAACAAAUUCUUUCUUUUUAAAGGACUUUCUUUUUUAUCCUUUUCUUUUAUUCGUCUCCAUGAAGUACUUCACACGACGUUCGCUUGUCGUCCCUUCUCAUGUCUCUCUUUCUCUGGUAUCUUCUCUUUUUUCUUCCAUCUCUACCUUCAGUUGCUAACAUGUGUUGUCGCCAUAUCUUUCUCGUGGCAUUGAAGUUGAACUAACUAUGCAACAUUCAUAAAGCUUGUCCUUAUCGGAAUGAAACUAAAAGCACAAAUUUACACACGUUUUUGCUCAAAGUAAAAAUCAAUCAUAUUAUUUUGUAGGAAUAUAAAAGUUAUUAUUGUUAAAUUACCUUUUGACCCAAAAGUUUAAACUAGCCAUGAAAAUAACAUUAUCCUAUCAUCUAAGAGAUAUACAUGCUAGGUUUCAACCUGAAUGCAUUUUUGGUAAUGGAUCAUGAUAUUACUAAAAAAGAGAAAGUAUAAGGGUAGAGAUUGCCAGAUUGGAUUCUGAUAUACAAGAACUAAAACAAAUACACAGAGAGGAAGAUGAGGAAAGAGUCCAAACAAAAGAUAAGGAUGGAGCUUUGGUAGGAGAGGGUGUUUGUAACUGAAGUGAUUUAAUUUAAAUAAAUGGAAGAAGGCAAAGAAAGUUGUUAAUAAAUUAAGGGAAUGAAUAAGGGAAAAGAAACAGAGAAUAAGGAUGUCAGGACCAUUAAUAAACAGUUCAUUACGUUCCCUUUUUUUCAUGCAUGUCAUGUGUUUCAACCUGUAAACCCUACUAUGUUUCAUACGUACUAAUCUUACGUGGGGCUUUCUCAUUUGUCCUAUUUAAUGGUACUAACAAUAAUCUGUUUAAUACCCUAAACCCUAACCCUUUGUGUAAUAGGGGUUGUAUUUGGGGGCUUAUGCGAGCAACAAAUUACUUUAGAAGACGGUUAUCCAUGUGUGUGGAUUAUAUGAUAACAAUGGGAUUCGAUCUCCAAACUAAAUCACAGUAUAUAUGAGAGAAAUAGCUUAUAUAUUUUAUAAGAAGUGUGAGUCCUCUAUUUGUUUUUCGGUGUCAGAAUUCCAACGUCUGAACAAAGGCUUGGUAUGUUUGAUUAAAUAGAUGGAAGAGAAAUUAUAAAAAAGUAUAUAUAUUGACUGUGGGUACAUUACAUUAAUAAUUUCAUUUUAGAAACAAAUUUGAAAAAAAAAAAAGAGAGAGUUACAAAUACUGUUUAGAAAGUCGAUUGGGAAUGUUCUCUCUUGGAAAGAUGUGGACUGAGAUCGACUUCAAGAGAGACAUUCAUUUAUACCAAAUGGUAAUGUGGGGUUGCUAAAUAGAAUAAUGCAUAUGAUAUAUGGUACCAUUAUAUUUAAUAUUAGACUAUAUACAAACAUAUAUAUAUCACUGGUACACUUCUACAAAUUUCUAUUAAUUAUAGAUUUUUAUCUCCUAUAUAUAUUUAUUAUUGACAGAAUUGUAUUAGAUUUUAUCAUUUGCUAGAAGACUUUCUAUACGUGUCUAUCUUAUUUUCAAUUAUAACUAUGUAUGGGUCAAAAUAGCUCAUAGAAAAACCUUUCCAAAUAAAUUAAAUCAAACAAAUUUUAUAAAUAAAGAAAGAAAUGAUAAAGAAUAGAACAUUUGAUCAAAUGUUUACCCUUUAUAUAAAUCAAAUAUAAUAAAUUUUGGCUUUUAAUAGUUUUGUUAUAAAUAGUUAAUCAAUUUUUACUAUUUUUGAAAAAAAAAAACCAUUUUAAAUAUCAAAUUAUCAAUAAAAUAAAUAUUGUAAAGGAGUAUUUUCAAGUAUAAUAAAAUGAAACUAAAACACUUACCAAAUAUAACCAAGUUGAGUGUAGCCGUUACAUACAAAAUAUAUAGUGAUGUAUUGAUAGAUAAUAAUAAAAGUUUAUCAAUAUCUUUUAUCACAAUAAUUAUUUUUAUUGUAAUAAUUAAGAAGGAAAAAGAAAAUUGAGUUAAUCCCGGGAAAAUUUGUCUAUACACAACUCUCUAGACUCUCUAUCUAUGUAUGGAAUCCAAUUUAUUUUGAAAAAUGAAAAUGUUUGAUGUAUAUAUUUUGAAAACAUGUUUUCCAUUCUUUCAUUAUUUCUCAAAUUUAAUUAAAUGGGAAAACUACCCUUCCCUUCCCUCCUCUCUCAAACACAGAGAAUCUUCGUCCUCUUCGUCCAAUCUGAUGGGAAAAAAUAGUUUCUUAUACACCAUGAAAGAAUAUUAACUUUGAAACUAUAUAGAAUGUUUCUUCGGAAACAAAUGAAAAUGAAAAAGAAAAAAGAAAAAAAGCAUAUUGUAGUAAAUGACGUGCUGUCAAGUGAUAUGGAGGUGGCUUGGGUUUAUCCUACUUGAAGAGUAAUUUUGAACUAAAGGGCAACAGAAAACGAAAUCAAAACUGAGGUUGAGUUAUGAUGGACUAAGGGAGGGGAGGUCUAUUCAUUUGUUGGACGAUAGUUGAGUCCUUGGCACAACCUUCCCUUAGACUCCAAAUCUUGCUUAGCCACAUUCUUAAUUAAUCUCAAGAAUCUACUCAAUUAGGUUAUCAAAUAAUUGAAUUUGAUUUACCUAAAUCAAAUGUGUGGGUUAACUUUAAUCGCAAUCGCAAAUUCUUUAUCUUUCUUAAUCUUACGUUAAAAGAAAACAAAUUUAUUAUUAGUAUCAAAUAAAAGGAUUGUAUUAGCUUUAAAUAUAUAUAUAUAUAUAUAAUUUAAUUUUUAUUUUGUAUUAUCCUCUUAAUAAUUAUCAUGGAAUAAGAUUUUUAUAAAGAAAGAAAGCAUAUUCGUGGAAAAAGAUUUAAUAACUGCUAAGAAAAUUUAGAGUAAUAUAACGUAUUAGAGUUAUUAAAUUACUAAUGUAGAGUUGCAAAUUUGUACCAAUAAUGUGGCCUCAACUGUCGGUGCAACUUUGGUGUGCAUGCACUAUUCAAAUUAUUUAACAAGUAUUUUUCAUUCAUGAAAGAGGUCAUUUUUUCUUAGCAUAUGUUGAAAAAAUUAAAUAACGUAUUUUUUUUUACGUUGGAAUGCAUCCGAGGUUAGUUGAGCUAAUCUUUUUAUAAAAAUAAAAAUAAAUUUUGUUAGAAUGUGUGAGACAUGUUUUUAAAUUUUAAAUAUUUGUUUAGAAUUUUCUGGUAUGUGUCAAACAAGAUUUGAAGUCUCUAUAUUCUUUAAAAGUAGGAAAAUUGCAAUUGAUAAACUAUUUCAACAAUAAUAGUUAAGGAUAUAGCAAAAUUUAAAAAAAAAAUGUAAAUAUAGCAAAACUAUCAUUAAACUUGUAUCGUUGAUAGACUUUGAUAGACUUUGUAUGGUCUAUCAUUGAUAGACCAAUAUUUGCAAUAUGGUAUAUUAGUGAUACACUUAUAUCAUUGAUAAAAUAUUGUUAUAUACUUAAUUAUUUUAAAUCUAAUUGCUAAAUUUGGUACUAUAUCUUAAACUAUGAUUUAAUAAUUUAAUUUUUUUAUCUCAAGAUAAUAAUUUAAAGAAAAGAUUUACUUUGAAGAUUAUGAGUCUCCUCGUUGCAUGGGAUUUGACAAAAUCUUAGUUGCUUAUUUAUAGCCUGCACUUUGGCAUCUUUGGGUGUGCGCAUUGGGUCAAAAUAUUGUUCUGCUGAUUUGAAAUUAAUUUUUGUUAAGUUUCCAAUAUGAAGAAAAGUCUUUCACCUUCAAGAAGAAGAUCAUUCUGAUUAAGGGGAGAUCUCUAUUAAUACAAAAAUAUUAUUGAUUGAUUUAGGGUUUAGUGAGAUAGAAUCACUUAUAAUAAUGUUUAGUAAGAUAGAAUCACUGUAAUAAUAAAAUUGAGCUGUAAAUUAAGUAUACAUAACCAUAAGGAUGUAAUUACGGUUCAUUUUUAAAGUAAUAAAAAAUUUCAUAUCUCGAAUUAAGGAACUUAGACGUAGAUGUUAUGUUAUUAAACUGGGUUAACAAUGUAUGUGUGUAUCUUUGGUUAUUAAAUGAAGUAUAUCUCAAAGAUCAUUUGUUGAUGCAUUCAUUCAUUUAUCAAGUUUUAUAAUUUUAUUAUAUAAUAAUAAUAAAUUAAAAUAAACUAUAAAUAAACAAAUUUAAAUGUUAGUUUUCUCUAACUUUUGAAUUUCAAUGUGAUUAGUGUGUUAAAUCCUUGAAACCUGCCUAGCAAAUCACAAGAAUAAGAAUGAUUUUUUAAAAAAGGAGUAUAUAUAUUUAAAAUUAAUUUUGAACUUUACAAUUUGUAUUUAUUAAAUUACUUUUAAAAAACAACCCUUUAUUUAUAUAUAUAUAUAUAUAUAUAUAUAUAUAUAUAUUAUAUAUAUAUAUAUAUAUAUAAUGUUAAGAUUGAAGUUCUGAAUUUAGAAAGGAAUUGAGAAGUGAGGGUGAAAGUUUUUAUUUAAUGUUGGAUAUUUUUAUGGAUGAGAUAUUGCGUGGUGGGAAUUGGAGUCCAGCUCACGUGUGGGGGAGGGUGCCCUCGAAUUCUUAAGGUUUUCGACCACGACGUCGUUUUAGGAAGUGAAUUCUUUCUUUUUUCUUUUUUCCUAUAACUUCUUUUUAGUGUUUUUUAUCUUUGAGAUUUGAAGUUUCAUAAUUUGUUGUUGUUGUGUUGUGUGGGGCCGAUAAUGUAGACGUGUACGGUAAAGUCAUUUUUAGGGCUCCACGUGGUAUUCUCCUAAGGACGUGGGCCCCAUCUAUGCGGCCACCUUUUUAACUCCCCUCACUUUCCUUUCCUUGCGAUGCCUUCCACCAUCACCUCCCUCUCUGCCACCUCGACUUUUCUUUUGACUUCUUAAACAUCCCUCUGUGGUCCAUUCCCCCCUUUUUCUUUCUACAUUUGAAAAUAAAUUACUUUACAUUUUAAUUUUACUUGCACUCCAUCUCCCUUCAUUUCACAACAAAAACAAAAUUUGUUUAUGUUUGUAUAAUGGAUUAACUAUUAAUUCAUCCCUCUCUAAUACAAUCUAAAAUUCAUGUUUUUUAAUUAGUGUUUUGAACUUGAUUUAUGAUAUUAAACUUAUUCCAUUUUAACGGUUUUCAAACCCUCGACUCCAUCCUAUUUGAAUACAUUUUAACUCCUAAACAAAGUAUGAGGGUAGUACACUUGUAAAAAAACAUGGAUAGGGUGAUAAUAGAAUCUCACCUACACGUGCAAUUGGAACUAUAAAGUUGAGCAAACAUGGUUUUAAUUUUAAUCCUACUUAUUAUUUAUGUUAAUUUUGGAGGUUAGGAAUCAUCUUAUACAUUUUGUUGAAUUUGUUACGUAUAAUUUAAGUUUUUUUUUUAUUACUUUUUUAUUUUUGUAUUUAAAGAAAUAGAAAAAAGAAAAAGAAAAAGCAAACCAGCGUUGGGGUUUUCUUUUUUCUUUACAAAAAUAAUUAUUUGAUUUAUGUCCCACUACUAAAAUUAUUCCAAAAGUAUUAACGUAACCACUUUCUUUUUAAGUUUCAUCAGAAAACAUGAUUUUCUUUGUUGGUAGACAAAGGUAUGCUUUUCAAAACUUAUACAUAAUAAAGUUAUUAAAUUUACGAGAGAGAAAAAACUUAUUACUGAAAAUUAAAUAACCCUAAAUAAUAAUAAUAAUAAUGGAGAAGAUAGGGAGAAGACAAAAUGAAACAUGAAAGUCUUCUGCCUUUGUUUCAGUGAACAAAUCUCUGUAGGAUGCUGGGGGUUGUUGCGCGUGCAAUAUUACUUCCAAUUUCCAAGUAAUCUUCAUAAUGUUCAUUGAAUAUAAUCACAACCAAACCAUUCUAGCCAUUCUUUUUUAAUUCAAUAUAUUUAAAUUCAACAACCAAAUCCAUCUAUAUGAUUAAAAAGUUAAAAUAGGAUGAAUAUGGUUUCGAGUAAUAAAUUGAGACACACAAUCAAAUGCGAAACAUCAUUUCAUGUCUCGUAUCCAUUUCAACGACAGACAGUACUGGAUGUCGAUAUCACUUCAAACUUAAAACGGGAGAAGAAGGAUCCAAGAGAGUACAAAUGCACGUGUUUGUCCCCAUUGGAGAUGAAGUUAUAUAUAUAUAAAAUAUAAUGUUGGAGUGGUAAAGGUUAUUAGGGAUGGGGAUCUAAAUUGAUAUCGUAGAGAGAAGAGGUGAAGAUUUGAGAAAUGAU
rnacentral:lncRNA from 1 species